AUUACUGUACCCUCCCGGCAGCCUCCGGCAGAACACGCAGCAGCAGCAGCAGUUAGCGCUGAUGCAACUAUCGUUGCUGUUGCCACCGCCUCCCCACUGACGGGGCGUGCACCUGGGGGGUACUUGCAGUUUCCAGGGGCAACAAGCAUCUCUCUACCACCCUCUCCUGCGCCCCUGAGAGAGGCUGGCUCCAAGCUUGAUAUAGAAGACUAUCAUAUGAACCAGAAAGGGUAACUGAAACCAAAGAAAUGACUCCAGUAUCAAGCUAAAGACAUGCCUUAAAGGAUGAGGAGGAGCAGAAAUCUUACCAGCAAGGCAAGAAAGAAGCCGUACGUGAACAGCCUCUGCUUUAGGCCCAGAAGGAAAAGAAGCUUACAGGAGACAAUCAGUCUUACACUCUUCCAUGGUCACAAACAAGAGGUCCCUGGAUCUACAGUAUCUAGGCCCACAUGCAAUAUGACUUUGCAACUCAUCCCAUCAGAGGAUGGAAACUAUUUCUUCACCCCCUUGAACCUGGGCUGGCUUUGUAAUUUGUUUUGGCCAAUAGAAUGUGGUGGAAGUGAUGGUGUUACCAGAAAGAGUUCCCAAUCCAGACUCGUGCGAGAAAGAAUUUGAGAAAUGAAAGAACCAGAGCAUUAUAGCAGAACGAAUCCUGGAAUGGGAAUGGAAUGCCUGGAUUUGUGGCACAGUUGGGAAGCGUCCUGGCCAUGCCAUGUUAAAGCUGUCUCCAAGGCAGUGAUUCUUACCCUUGGCUACACAUUGGAGUCAUUUGGGAAGCUAGAAAAAAAAAAUGCCCAGGACCUGGGCAAGACGGCUGAAUAAGAACAGCUCUGGUCUGCAGUUCCUAGCAAGAUCAACGCAGAAGGGAAGCUGGCAGCCUGGGCUCUUGGAGAUUGUAUCUGGUGCCGGAGAGGACUGGCUCCCACACUCAGUGAGGGAGGAAUUUUACUGACCCAGCAUCCAGAUGAACUUUGGUGAGGAGAGGAGGACAUAAGAGCCUGGUGGUUGAUGAUGGAAGAGAUGAAACUGUGAAGAGACCGAAGAAGCUAAUCUAUCAAUAGUUAAGAUUCCAUUUCUAAAAGAUCUUACUUUGAGUCUACCUAUGCCUGGGAUGUCAAGAGGUGCUGAGGAUUGAUUGGUGAAGACAGAGAGGGUCUUGGUUCUAACUGAGCUCACAUUCUAAAAGAGAAAAUAGAAAAUAAACACGAAAAACGAAUGGGAUCACUUCAGAAAUUGAAAAGGUCUAUAAGAAAAACAAAACAGGGUGUGUGAUAGAGGGUUGGGGAGGCUGUGACCAUGGAAGGCCUAAGAAAGUGAUAUUUGAAAUGAAACUUGAGUUGCAGAAGGGAGCCAGCUGUGCAAGGCUGAGGACCAAAUAUUUCAGGAGGGAACGGCCAAGGCAGAAAUGAGCAUGGCCUGCUGGAGACCGAGAAUGAACUGUUAGUGGGUUCCCACUGCACAGGGCCUGGGGAGGCUACCCAUGCUCAUCUCAUGGUAAUGUGCCAGCAACUCAGCCUACUGGCAUCAU
rnacentral:lncRNA from 1 species